rnacentral:lncRNA from 1 species
GGCUUUUGGGAUAGCAUUUGAAAUGUAAAUGAAGAAAAUACCUAAUUAAAAAUAUGUAAAAAAUAAAUGUUAUAUUCACAAACUAGAUUCUGACUGCAUGUAUAUUUCAAAAUAAAUUUUACAUAUAAAGAGUAAGAAAAAAAUAGAGGCAAUGUUCUACAUUAGUAGAUCACCUGGGAAUAAAUUCAGACUUCCACAAAUUUAAGAGUUUUAGAAUUAAUAGUACCCCUGGAGAUUAUCACUAGAAAGAUGCUGUUCAUGGAACAAGAGCAAGAUGAGAAAGUGAAGGUAAAAUGCAGAAUAAUUGUGAGGAGCAGAGACAGGGAAGCAAGGCCAGGAGUGAGAAAAGCCAGGACUCAAAUUCAUAGACUGUGUGGAAAGCAGCCUGGGUUAAAUUCUUGCUUUUCUAGUUUCUGAAAGGCAUAUUAACUCUCUACAGCAGGGAUGUUAACUUGUGUUUGAAUUUGGUUUGGGAAGACAUCAUUGUAAUAAAGUCUAUAGAGCCAUUGGAAGUAUUUGGUAUGUAGUUUGUGGUCAGCUAAUGGCUCCCUCCAUAAAGACUCACCAACAUGGCUACCCAAAUAUGAGCAAGGAAGAUACCAAUAGACAUGCCUGUGCUUUUCGGGUGUUUUUCAAAAGGUCCAUGUCUAUGUCUAUACUACUGCCAUUUUUUUUUAUUUUGAAUGUUUUGCAUUUUAUUUUUGAGAUUUUACAACAUUAAGUUAUAAUUAUAACAUUUCUCCCUUCAUUUUUCUCCAUCUAAACCAUCUCAGAUGCUCCCUCAACUUUCCCUCAAACUUAUGGCCUCUUUUUUUUCUUUUUUUUUUUAACUAGUUGUUAUUGAAUGUAUGUAUGUAUAUGCACAUGCAUAUACUUCCCUAAGUAUAAUUUAUCCAGUCUGUAUAAUGUUACCUGAAUAUAUGUUAAUAUAAUAAUAUACUACUACUACUACUUUUGUGUAAAGUUGAGGUCUUGUGGGUUUUUCCUACACACAUUGGAAUGUCUAUUGGUGUUGUCUUUGUUUACUAAGUUUUAUCUAUGCUUUCUUAUAACAGUAUCAGAUUUCACAACCUUUGUGAUAUUAGAUCUAUUUUGAGUAUACAUUUUGGACAGGGUGAGAGGUGUGGAUCUAGUAUCAGUUUUUCCUCCAGAUACCUUGUUUUUGAAACACCAUAUGUCUCUCCUUCAGUGGAUAUUUUUGACAUUUUUGUCAAAAUUUAGCUGACUGUCAAAUGUAGGUUUAUUUCUGUAUCCCCUAUUCUAAUUCUAUUCUACUCACCUCUCUCUGUGUGUGUAUGUGUGUGUGUGUGUGUAUGAAUGCCAUACAGAUUUUUUUUUUUACUGUGGUUCUGAAGUAUAAUUUGUGGUCAGAAAUUAUGACACCUCUGUGCUAUUUUCUUUGUUUAGGACUUUGCUUUGGCUAUUCAAAGUUUGUUGUGCUUCAGUUUUAGCACUGGAAUGCAUUGCGUUGAGUGUUGGACUUGAGAAAUGGCAUUGGCCAGCUGAAAUUGUGAUGGGAAUUUGAAUUUGGAGCUUAAUAAAACACAUGUGGAAACAUAUAACAUGCUAGAGAGCAAUUAGCCAUGAUGAAUUGCUAUGAAAAUAAGGUGAUAAUUCAGGAGAUAAAUUUGGCAAGGAUAGAUUGUUACAUGGAUUUGGAGUGAGGAAAAUAUUCACGUACAAGUGAAGAGGAAAUAUGAAGCUAAAAGGAGAUUAUUCUGAGGCAGGAAUAGAUGUAAGGCUACAGAUACUUCUGGUUUAUAUAUGUAUUUGUAUGUGUAGCUCUUGUAUGUGUAACUCAUGUUUUGUCUUAGAAAGAUAGUGGUGGUAGUGACCUGCUUGUAUACAUUUGGGUACGUCCAUAGGACCUGUUUUGCAUCCUUCUGACAGUCAGGUGCUAGUAGUAUAGAUCAUUGGCAGUGUGCUUGCCUAGCAUGGGCAAAGCUCAGUUUGAUUCCCAUGUCUCUCACCUCCAGAUGAAGAAAAUCAGUGGCUGCUGCUAUUCAAAGCCUGUGUGAGUCAUGACCAUCCCUAAUGCUCUGUAAUUCUUAAUGCCUGGAGAAGCCAAUAGGUUAGCAUUCGGGAACUUUCCAUUUAUCAUCACUGAUUUAUUUCCUGGUGGGAGUCUUUGACUCACAGGCAUUACUGGAACUUUAAGACAAAUUUG